GACGAACGCUGGCGGCGUGCUUAACACAUGCAAGUCGAGCGGUAAGGCUUCUUUGGGAUUACACGCGCGGCGAUCGGGUGAAUAACACGUGAGUAAUCUGCCCUUCACUUCCUGAUAACCACCGGAAACGGUCGCUAAUACCGAAUACGACCAGUCUUCGCAUGAUGUGCUGGUGGAAAGGUUUUUCGGUGAAGGAUGUGCUCGCGUCCUUUCAGCUUGUUGAUGGGGUAAUGGCCUACCAAGGCUUCGACGGGUAGCCUGCCUGUGAGGGUGACCGGCCACAUUGGGACUGAGACACGGACCAGGAUACUACGGGAGGUAGCAGUGGGGAAUAUUGGACAAUAGGCGAAAGCAUGAUCCAGCGACGGAGGGUGAGGGAUGACGGCGUUCGAGAUGUCAACCUCUUUGAGUACCGACGAAGCGGCAUGUCGGGUGGUGACGGUAGGUACAGAAGAAGGACCGGCCAACUACGUG
rnacentral:rRNA from 1 species